UUUAAUCGAUUGCGAGGCUACAAAAACAUUAAGGAGUCUACGUUAUUAUCCAUAUUAUCUGUUCCCUAGAUGAGGUUCGUUAAGAUUAUAACUCUGUUUGUGCUCAUUCUCGCAUUUAACAUGGGUGAGAACAAUGUCAAAUGCGAUGAGAUCAGCGUCAUGGGUAACCAAUUGCCUCGGGGUUGGUAUUGCUGUAGAAGAUUCAGAUUUCGAUGCUUGAGAUAUUGCAUAAGGGGCUGAAGAUUGGUGCCUUCAUGAUCUUUCAGCGAAAGGAAAAUUCAUGAAAAAAUAUGAAACAUAUUUAAAUAAAACUGACUACUGUAAAAUCACA